CCUAGGGGUGGCAGCAGUGGGGAAUAUUGGACAAUGGGCGAAAGCCUGAUCCAGCCAUGCCGCGUGUGUGAAGAAGGCCUUCGGGUUGUAAAGCACUUUCAGUGGGGAAGAAAGCCUUGGGGCUAAUACCCUCGAGGAAGGACAUCACCCACAGAAGAAGCACCGGCUAACUCCGUGCCAGCAGCCGCGGUAAUACGGAGGGUGCGAGCGUUAAUCGGAAUUACUGGGCGUAAAGCGCGCGUAGGCGGUCUGAUAAGUCGGUUGUGAAAGCCCCGGGCUCAACCUGGGAACGGCAUCCGGAACUGUCAGGCUAGAGUGCAGGAGAGGAAGGUAGAAUUCCCGGUGUAGCGGUGAAAUGCGUAGAGAUCGGGAGGAAUACCAGUGGCGAAGGCGGCCUUCUGGACUGACACUGACGCUGAGGUGCGAAAGCGUGGGUAGCAAACAGGAUUAGAUACCCGAGUAGUC
rnacentral:rRNA from 1 species